UUUUAUCUCUAUGUUUGAUUAAGGAAUCGAGACGUGGGUUGUAUAAGGUUGAGGUGGUCACUCCGUUUUUUGAUAGAAAAAGAAGCGGUCACUCCGUUGGUUUUGCGUCGAUUCAAGAAUACAGGAGAUUCUAAUUGAUGGUGACCAUUGGAGAUUGUUCGUGAUUUGUUCGUAGCCAUUUUGGAGAAGAGGAUUUUCAUGAAGACUGUGCGUUCUUCAAGGGUAAGGCAAGGACAUGCAAAGCGAUAGACAGGAUGCUAUUAUAUGAGUCAGGAACUAAUUGAAUCGAGCUUCUGCAUUUUGAUCUUUGUCUAGUCAAAUGUUAUGUUUUGGAAUUUGUAACUAUGGGCAAUUCGUAAA